GGCCAUGGGGCAGCUUAACAUGCAAGUCGAACGGCAGCACGGAGCUUGCUCUGGUGGCGAGUGGCGAACGGGUGAGUAAUAUAUCGGAACGUACCCUGGAGUGGGGGAUAACGUAGCGAAAGUUACGCUAAUACCGCAUACGAUCUAAGGAUGAAAGUGGGGGAUCGCAAGACCUCAUGCUCCUGGAGCGGCCGAUAUCUGAUUAGCUAGUUGGCGGGGUAAAAGCCCACCAAGGCAACGAUCAGUAGCUGGUCUGAGAGGACGACCAGCCACACUGGAACUGAGACACGGUCCAGACUCCUACGGGAGGCAGCAGUGGGGAAUUUUGGACAAUGGGCGCAACCCUGAUCCAGCAAUGCCGCGUGAGUGAAGAAGGCCUUCGGGUUGUAAAGCUCUUUUGUCAGGGAAGAAACGGUGAAGGCUAAUAUCCUUUGCUAAUGACGGUACCUGAAGAAUAAGCACCGGCUAACUACGUGCCAGCAGCCGCGGUAAUACGUAGGGUGCAAGCGUUAAUCGGAAUUACUGGGCGUAAAGCGUGCGCAGGCGGUUAUGUAAGACAAAUGUGAAAUGCCCGGGCUCAACCUGGGAACUGCAUUUGUGACUGCAUGGCUAGAGUGUGUCAGGGGGGGGUAGAAUUCCUCGUGUUAAGGUGAAAUGCGUAUAUAUGUAGAGGAAUAACGGGGGCCAAGGCGACAGCCUGGGGCAACACCGAGGCUCAUGCACGAGAAAAUGGGGCCAAGCAGGAGUAAAAUUAUGGU
rnacentral:rRNA from 1 species